UAGGGAAUCUUCCGCAAUGGGCGAAAGCCUGACGGAGCAACGCCGCGUGAGUGAUGAAGGUCUUCGGAUCGUAAAACUCUGUUAUUAGGGAAGAACAAAUGUGUAAGUAACUAUGCACGUCUUGACGGUACCUAAUCAGAAAGCCACGGCUAACUACGUGCCAGCAGCCGCGGUAAUACGUAGGUGGCAAGCGUUAUCCGGAAUUAUUGGGCGUAAAGCGCGCGUAGGCGGUUUUUUAAGUCUGAUGUGAAAGCCCACGGCUCAAUCGUGGAGGGUCAUUGGAAACUGGAAAACUUGAGUGCAGAAGAGGAAAGUGGAAUUCCAUGUGUAGCGGUGAAAUGCGCAGAGAUAUGGAGGAACACCAGUGGCGAAGGCGACUUUCUGGUCUGUAACUGACGCUGAUGUGCGAAAGCGUGGGGAUCAAACAGG
rnacentral:rRNA from 1 species